UUAUUAGGCCUAGCUAUAUAUUUCUUUUUAUAAUGAUGGUAUUUUUUAUGAUAUCUUAUGGUUUUAUCUUUUGAACACUGACCAUUACAUCCUUUAUCCUGGCCUAUUCCAUAAUCAAAUUGUUUACAGAAGGAUCCUAAUUCAUGUUUAGUUUUAUGCAUCUCAUAUUUUAAUGUUCUUUGUAAUUUUAGAUCAUGACAUAUCUGUAAUCCUUCCUUUUGGAUUAUACUUACUAACUGACCAAAUGUUAACUUACUAUAAGGUAUCGGGUUCCCAUACUGGUUUUUUAUAUGAUUUCUUACUUUCUCUCCUAGGAAAUAAGGAAGUCCUGCCAAAAAUUUCUCCUUCCAAAA
rnacentral:lncRNA from 1 species